GGAUCCUACUAUUAGGGAAGACCUGCUGUCCAUCCACCAUCACUGAACUCUCCACCAAGGCCCUGGCUGGAGGACCGGCCAACAGCUCUGAGAGAGGGACCUGAGGUCAAAUGCUGCCUCACCAUGCAGGUGCCAAACUGUGGCUGGUCCACAAAUCACUCUUUGUUUACAAUUACCAAAGUACAGAAAUUGAAACUCAACCUUUAGAAACACUAAGAGCAACUGUACACUGCCACAACAACCAACACAUGCUCCAUGGGCUUGUAUGGUGUGUGGCCUUGGCUUUUUGCCAUCUAAUUUUUUUAGUUAUUCAUUUUUAUUAUAGCUUUAUGGAAGUGUUGACCUGGAACAGUAUGGAAAUGUUUAAAGUGCUCCUGAACCACAAAUACAAUGAGAAGCAUUUAACUGGAUGUUUUUUAAUUAAAUGGCAAUAGGGAUGAAACCUAAAGCAAAAUAUUAUGAGUGGAAACCAUUUCUCCCUCAAGAAGACUUCUCCUAUGUAUGUCACUUCUAAUAUAAAUAUCAACCAAAUAGCCCUUACAAUGGAAAUCGGCAAUGGUAAAGAAAACCAUACAUACCCUCUUCAGUGAAGAAUUUUUCCACGGGUCCCAAGAACUGAUUGAUUUCAUUAAGUUCAUCUUGGCUAACUUCUGGAAAUGGGAAAACUUCUUUCUAAAAAUAGUAAAUAUUUUCUAAAAAAUUUAAUUUUUAGCACACUCCCAUCACGGAAAUAUCAGUUAAAAGGGAAGGAAAAACAUGUGCUCCACUCCACCCUGGCCAGCGGGACAUGACGUACUGAAGGAACUGGAAAGCAAACCUCACAAGGUUCCUGAGAUACAGAAACUAUGUGCAGGCUCCACCACCCACAUCCAUCUCCCUCCCCUGUUCAAAUAGGUUCUUCCCGAUUUUCAUCAGUUUUCCUUCUCAGUACAAGGGAUGAUAAUAGUCCCAUGAAACAAGGAGCCCAAGACUAACAUUUAGAAGCCUGGGGGUCUGGUCCUUGAUUUCAGGCUUACUCAUUAUGUGGCCUUCACCAAAUCCCUUCAGCUCUCUAAACUACCCCUUUCUCACCCAUAACAUGCAGGUAAUAUUUACUCAAGGCCCUUGUGAGAAUCGUGGAAGAUAGUGGAUGUGGAAACUCCUUACUGAAAUGGACAAUUCUACAUCAAUUAUUGUGUGAGCUCAAAGAUGCUAUGCUGACAAGAGCACAUCAUGCUUACCAAGUCUCAUCGAUCCCUACAGCCGCUGUCUCUCCUGCUCACAGACAUCUGCUCCCUGUGCUGAGCCCCUCUGGACUUUUGGGCUCUGCUACCCCUUCAAUUGCCAGCAUGACAUGAGCUUUGGAUGUGGGCUUCAGGCUGUUGAGCAGUGAUGUCCUGAGUCAGAGCUAUAAGCCCAAGCAUCACCUGUCCUCAUGGCGCCUCUCACCAAGUGUUCUAGAGAAGUCUUGGGGAGACCUCAACCUUCUCCUCAGACCUUGUACAGCUAAUCAGCCAACAGAUUUCUCUACUCUAUCAAUAUGCUCGCACUGCUUUCUCCUCUCUGGGCCCAGGACCACAGGCUUAUAGGUGAGUCCCUAACUAAAAGUGACAGCCAACUUAAAGGAAUCCCUGCCUCCAUCCAUUCCAAAACCACCCUGAAGGUGGUAUAGAAAAAAAAAAAGGUUGGAGGCCAGGCACGGUGGCUCACGCCUGUAAUCCCAGCACUUUGGGAGGCCGAGGCGGGCGGAUCACGAGGUCAGGAGUUUGAGACCAGCCUGACCAACAUGGUGAAACCCCGUUUCUACUAAAAAUACAAAAAUUACACGGGCUUGGUAGCACGCGCCUGUAAUCCCAGCUACUCAGGAGGCUGAGGCAGGAGAAUUGCUUGAACCCGGGAGGUGGAGGUUGCAGUGAGCCGAGAUUGCGCCAUUGCACUCCAGCCUAGGUGACAGAGUGAGACUCCAUAAAAAAAAAAGAAAAGAAAAAGAAAAAAACAAGCUUAGCUGGUUGCAGUGGCUACUGCCUGUAAUCCUAGUCCUUUGGGAAGCUGACGCAGGGGGAUUGCUUAAAGCCCAGGAGUUCAAAACCAGCCUGGGCGUGGUUGCACACGCCUGUAGUUCCAGCUACUCAGGAGGCUGAGGUGGGAGGAUCCCCUGAGCCUGGGGAGGUUGAGGCUGCAGUGAGCUGUGAUUGCACCACUGCACUCCAGGGUGGGCAACAGAGUAAGACACUGUCUCAAGGAAAAAAAAAACAAGAAAAAAAAAAAAAAACAAGCUGAUGGCUCCAUCACUCUGCAGCCUUUUAUAUCAAAGCUCAGUCUCCUUCACUGAACACAGAGGCUCACUGACACUUGGGUCUUGUGCAAUGGGCUGUGUUAGAGAUCAUUCUGGUACCAGUGGGCAGGCCAGAUAAGACUGCCUGGCAACUAAUUGGCCUUCAGGUACAACCACAGAAAACCUGCCACACAGGAGAGAUUGCAGGGGCGUGGGAGAAAGAUCCUGAUGUUAUCAAAUCAGGUCAAUGCCUUAGGGGAGGAGAGUUCAAUUGCAAUAAACAGUUUGUAAAUUAUCUAAAAAAGUGGAACCUGUUAUUCAAAGAAAUCUAGUGCAGAAACCAAAUAUGUAAAACAGACAGAAGCAGGCGGCUCUGACUGAGACUGCUGAUAGGGAAAACAGGCACCCAAAUCCCACCCACUCAACUUCCCACCCAUCCCUGCAGCAGUUCCAGGACACUCCAUGAAUAGCUUGGGUCCAGCUUAGGGCAGGGUGACAACCACUGGCCUACACAAUCUGAGAUUCUAAGCAUCAUGUCCCAUGUUUCUGCUCUAAUCCCAGUAAGGCUGUGAGAGAUGACACUGGCCUGAUCCAAAGUAGCAGCAGAAGGGCCUAAAAGUGGUCAGAUUCUAAGAACCUAAAAGUAGAGAAAACCAGAUCUUCUGUGGAAUUAGAAGUGGACUAGGAGAAUAAGAGUACAAGGUGACUCCAGGUGUUCUGUUUGAACAGGUGGAACAACAGAGCCACCAUUAUCUAUGAUAAAGAAGGCUGGUGGAAGGAGCAGGAUUGGGUGGGAACCAGGAACUCAGUUUGGGAUCUAUUAAUCUCAAAUGCCUGUUAGACCUCUUAGUACAGCUUUUGAGUACAAAGGUAGAUUAAAAAAAGAAUCUUGGCUGGGUGUGGCAGGGCGUGCCUGUAGUCCCAGCUACUGGGGAUGCUGAAGUGGGAGGAUCUAUUGAGCCUUAGGAGUUCAAGGUUGCAGUGAGCUAUGAUGGCACCACUGCACUCCAGCACAGGUGACAGAGAAAGCCCCCAACUCUGAAAAAGCAAAAGGAAUCUGGAGUUCAGGGAGAAAUCUGAACUGAAGAAAGAAACUUGAGGCAUCAGGAUAUUGAUGAUAUUUAAAGCCAGGACACUAAAUAAGGUCACCCAGCAGAUGGCUGUAGAUGAAACGAGACCCAGCCUUAGUAAAUUCCAACUUGGCUAGUUGGAAACACUGGUCACUGUUUAGCGGUCAAGGAGCUGAAUAAGAACCAGCAAUGGACACAGAGAAGUAUCAGCCAGUGAAGUAUUUAGAACAUUCAGAGAAUGGCGAGAACAGUGAUUCAGAAACCAGAGACGAAAGUGCGUCAACAGGGUGGAAGGAUGAACGGUGUCAGAUGCCAAUGAUGGGUCAAGUAGGAUGAGGUCUGAGAACAGAUCACACAAUUUGAUAACAGAGAGGUCAUUACUGACUUCUAUGGCCAUUAGGGACAAAUGCCUGAAUGGUAAGGGCUCAAGAUCCAGUAGAGAGAACAGUUAAUGAUGCAGAGAAAGGAAAGAAUUACCCUUGAGUAGGUGAGAAGACCUGGAGUCUAAUGAGAGGUUGGUUUUGCCAGGAGCAGACAGUUCACAGUAACAGAAUGUAGAUAAUACCGGCACAUAUGCAGCGGGAGGGGGUAACUGUGCCUGUGAACUUCUCAUCCGACUGCAUGGAUUUUCCCAGUGGAAUGGGAAGCAAAGCUGACAGCUGAGAGUAAAGGCAGGGCAGGGCAGGUAGUGCCAGAGGUUUAAAGAUGGAAACAGAUCUGAAAGAUCUGUGUUCUUUCUUCACCAUGCUGCUGGAUAGCAGGAAGUCCCAGGAUAGAGCACCACACUGCCCCAGGUCCUGGGUAAAAGGUUUUCCAAUAUGUUCAAGACAUAGCUCCGCACUUUCUAGCUGGGCAAACUGCUUUUAGUCUGAGUCUUAGCUUCUUCAUCUGUAAAGUUGCUUGCUAUAAAGGUAUCAGCCUGACAACCUCAGAGGAACGUUCCAAAGAGAAGCCAGGGAAUAACUUCUGUGAUACAGGAUCAGCCAACAUUCAGCCAAGUUCAAAGUAGGGCACCUCGACGAAAUAGCAAGUAUACUGUUGGUUUCCUUAGAAGAUAAAAUGAAAUACAAAGGAAAGAGCAAGAAAUGUGUUUAUUCCUAUUUUGUAGAUGAAUGCACUGAGGCACAGGGAGGUGCAGCCGUCAGCUCCAAGGUCACAAGACUAAGUGUUGAAGCCAGCUCUCUCUUCUGCUGCACAGUACUCUACAGUUUAAGAAGACUCUCCAUGCACCGUUUAUCUCACUGGGGCUCUACAACACAUCUGUGAAGGAGACACAACACUAUCUCCAUUUUAAGGCUGAAAGAACUGAGUCUUGGCCGGGCGCGGUGGCUCACCCCUGUAAUCCCAGCACUGUGGGAGGCCGAGGUGGGCGGAUCACCCGAGGUCAGUUCUAGACCAGCUUGGCCAACAUGGUGAAACCCCGUCUCUGCUAAAAAUACAAAAAAAAAAAAAGCCGGGCAGGCGCCUGUAAUCCCAGCUACUCCGGAGGCUGAGGCAGGAGAAUCGCUUGAACCCAGGAGGGAGGUUGCAGUGAGCACUCCAGCCUGGGCGACAAGAGCGCGACUCUGUCUCAAAAAAAACAACUGAGUUUCAAAGUCAACGAGCCAAGACCAAACCCAAGUCUUCCAACUCUAAGAAGACAAUGAGUGUUUUAUAACCAAACUGUUACUAUUGGCUGGGUUGUGCCACCCUUGGGAAGCAUCUUGGAGCCAGAUUUCUGAGGAACCUCAAUGGCAGGGAGAGGCGCUGGGCUCACCUGGGGAAGGAAGCCCCAGGGCGCUGGAAGGUGACUGAGGAGGGACAUGGUGUAAGCUGUUUAGGAAUCAGAGAGGAAGCCCCGCACAUUUCCAGACCAGACCAGCUGAGAUGAAGGCUGCUUUGUUAAUUACCUAGCCUAGAGUUUUCCGAAUUCCCCUGACAAAAUUUAGCUGGAACACGUCACCACCACAUUUCCAAGGGUCCCCCGUCUUGGAAAUGUCUCACCCUUUCUCUGGGAAGGUUUUCCUGGA
rnacentral:lncRNA from 10 species